GAGUGGGUUGUACCNGAAGUAGAUAGCUUAACCGNNAGGGGGGCGUUUACCACGGUAUGAUUCAUGACUGGGGUGAAGUCGUAACAAGGUAACCGUAGGGGAACCUGCGGUUGGAUCACCUCCUUACCGAACGAGCUAUAGUAAGUGUCCACACAGAUUGGCUGAGAGUUGUAGACAAGAUAGAGAGCGGAAAUCAACAUUGUCCUUGGGUCUGUAGCUCAGGUGGUUAGAGCGCACCCCUGAUAAGGGUGAGGUCGGUGGUUCAAGUCCACUCAGACCCACCACUCUAAGAGUGAGUGAAGUAAGGNNNNNNAUCUGCAAA
rnacentral:misc_RNA from 1 species